CCUACGGGUGGCAGCAGUGAGGAAUAUUGGUCAAUGGACGAGAGUCUGAACCAGCCAAGUAGCGUGAAGGAUGACUGCCCUAUGGGUUGUAAACUUCUUUUAUAUGGGAAUAAAACGAUCAACGUGUGGGAUUUUGUAUGUACCAUAUGAAUAAGGAUCGGCUAACGCCGUGCCAGCAGCCGCGGUAAUACGGAGGAUACGAGCGUUAUCCGGAUUUAUUGGGUUUAAAGGGAGCGUAGGUGGAUUGUUAAGUAAGUUGUGAAAGUUUGCGGCUCAACCGUAAAAUUGCAGUUGAUACUGGCAGUCUUGAGUACAGUAGAGGUGUGCGGAAUGCGUGGUGUAGCGGUGAAAUGCUUAGAUAUCACGAAGAACUCCGAUUGCGAAGGCAGUUCACUGGACUGCAACUGACACUGAGGCUCGAAAGUGUGGGUAUCAAACAGGAUUAGAUACCCUGGUAGUC
rnacentral:rRNA from 1 species